rnacentral:rRNA from 1 species
UACGUAGGGUGCAAGCGUUAAUCGGAAUUACUGGGCGUAAAGCGUGCGCAGGCGGCUUUGCAAGACAGAUGUGAAAUCCCCGGGCUCAACCUGGGAACUGCAUUUGUGACUGCAUGGCUGGAGUGCGGCAGAGGGGGGAUGGAAUUCCGCGUGUAGCAGUGAAAUGCGUAGAUAUGCGGAGGAACACCGAUGGCGAAGGCAAUCCCCUGGGCCUGCACUGACCGCUCAUGCACGAAAGCGUGGG